rnacentral:rRNA from 1 species
UACGGAGGGUGCAAGCGUUAAUCGGAAUUACUGGGCGUAAAGCGUGCGCAGGCGGUUUGUUAAGUCCGCUGUGAAAUCCCCGAGCUCAACUUGGGAAUUGCAGUGGAUACUGGCAGGCUGGAGUACGGUAGAGGAAGGUGGAAUUCCCGGUGUAGCAGUGAAAUGCGUAGAUAUCGGGAGGAACAUCCGUGGCGAAGGCGACUACCUGGACCAGCACUGACACUGAGGCACGAAAGCGUGGGGAGCAAACAGG